UCCGGCUUAACGCCGGCGGUCUCCAUAGAGUGCCCAACUGAAUGAUGGCAACUAGGGAUAGGGGUUGCGCUCGUUAAGGGACUUAACCCGACAUCUCACGAUACGAGCUGACGACAGCCAUGCAGCACCUAACUACCGGUCUAUUGCUAGAAGGGAAUAUCUCUACUCCUGUCCGGCAUCUUCCAACCCAGGUAAGGUUCUUCGCGUUGCAUCGAAUUAAACCACAUGCUCCACCGCUUGUGCGGGCCCCCGUCAAUUCCUUUGAGUUUUAACCUUGCGGCCGUACUUCCCAGGCGGGGUACUUAAUGCGUUAGCUGCGGCACUGUGGGGGUCAAUUCCCACAACACCUAGUACCCAUCGUUUACGGCGUGGACUAC
rnacentral:misc_RNA from 1 species